UACGAAGGGGGCUAGCGUUGUUCGGAAUUACUGGGCGUAAAGCGCACGCAGGCGGCUCGUUAAAUUAGAAGUGAAAGCCCCGGGCUUAACCUGGGAAUUGCUUUUAAGACUGUCGGGCUAGAAUCCAGAAGAGGGUAGUGGAAUUCCGAGUGUAGAGGUGAAAUUCGUAGAUAUUCGGAAGAACACCAGUGGCGAAGGCGACUACCUGGUCUGGCAUUGACGCUCAUGUGCGAAAGCGUGGGGAGCAAACAGG
rnacentral:rRNA from 1 species